CAUUUGCAGGGCUAACCUCCCUUGGAACCAAUGAGAUUUUUCAAAAAAUCAAUUUAUUGACAUGAUUAUCUCUUCCAGGUCAGACCUUCUCGUCUCAGACAUUCAGUCUGAAGCCACAGGUGAAGAACCCAGCUCACUGGAAUAACUGCUUGAGUUGGGUGCUAACUUCUGCUGAGCAAACCAUACAGCAGGAUUUUGUUCCAGGUAAAGAUUUCCUUCCAUGAUAAAGAUAAGCCAAUGCAAAGAAGGAGGAAACUAAGCAGUUUUUGUAACUGAGCUAUCAGGCUACAUUUGCUUCAAGAACAGGACCAAAUAGUUUGUAGAACUGUAAGCAGAUGGAAAUAUACUUGGUCCAGGUUAACGUGGUGCAAACUAUCAAACAGCUCCUAAGACUGAAAUUUUUUGUACAACUCAAGUGGAUCAAACCUGUGAUCCUGACGGUGCACAACUUGGACUCUAGCAGUGACUUGGAGGGAAAUUGUCCCUGGAAGAAGGAUUUUGCCCCCUCCAGCCGAGCCAUUGGCAGAGACACUGGAAUGCAAAGUGCUUAAGGCUGUGUGACUGCACUGAAGUGCCUCCUCUGAGAGUCCUGGACAUGGCACAGUGCCUUUGGGUCCGCUUCCCCAGCAGCUCCUUGUGAGACAGGAUAUUUCCUUAGCAAUGUUUGUUGGUAUUUGCACAGUGAGUUCAGACAGUGACUGGCCAUGGCUCCUAUCAAGCCACAAUUGUUCAAGUGACACUUCAGAUCCUCUGCCUGAUACACUGCCAUUGAGAGAGAUGGACAGAAUUCCCAUUAAAGCUUGCUUUAGGCAGGAUAUCCAACGCUUCUGGCUGUAAAAAGAUGGAACAAGCCUGCACACUAAUACUACUCUGAUAUUUCCCAUUUUGACAUGAUCCCCAAAAUAUCAUAAGUGAAGAAGUGACAAUAAACAUGCUUUGCACAAUUUUAAGGAAAAGAGC
rnacentral:lncRNA from 1 species